GACGAACGCUGGCGGCGUGCUUAACACAUGCAAGUCGAACGGUAAGGCCCUUCGGGGUACACGAGUGGCGAACGGGUGAGUAACACGUGGGUGAUCUGCCCUGCACUUCGGGAUAAGCCUGGGAAACUGGGUCUAAUACCGGAUAGGACUCCGGACUGCAUGGUCUGGGGUGGAAAGCUUUUGCGGUGUGGGAUGGGCCCGCGGCCUAUCAGCUUGUUGGUGGGGUGAUGGCCUACCAAGGCGACGACGGGUAGCCGGCCUGAGAGGGUGACCGGGCACACUGGGACUGAGGUACGGCCCAGGCGCGUACGGGAGGCAGCAGUGGGGAAUAUUGCACAAUGGGCGCAAGCCUGAUGCAGCGACGCCGCGUGAGGGAUGACGGCCUUCGGGUUGUAAACCUCUUUCAGCACAGACGAAGCGCAAGUGACGGUAUGUGCAGAAGAAGGACCGGCCAACUACGUGCCAGCCGCCGCGGUAA
rnacentral:rRNA from 1 species